UACAGAGGGGGCAAGCGUUGUUCGGAAUUACUGGGCGUAAAGGGCGCGUAGGCGGCCUGUUAAGUCGAACGUGAAAUCCCCGGGCUCAACCCGGGAACUGCGUCCGAAACUGGCAGGCUUGAAUCCGGGAGAGGGAUGUGGAAUUCCAGGUGUAGCGGUGAAAUGCGUAGAUAUCUGGAGGAACAUCGGUGGCGAAGGCAGCUCGCUGGGACGUCACUGACGCUGAGACGCGAAAGCGUGGGGAGCAAACAGG
rnacentral:rRNA from 1 species